rnacentral:rRNA from 1 species
CUACCCGGGUUUCUAAUCCUGUUUGCUCCCCACGCUUUCGUGCCUGAGCGUCAGUAAUGGUCCAGUUGGGCGCCUACGCCACUGGUAUUCCUCCUAAUAUCUACGAAUUUCACCUCUACACUAGGAAUUCUCCCAACCUCUACCAAACUCUAGAAAAGCAGUUUCAAAAGCAGUUCCAGGGUUGAGCCCUGGGCUUUCACUUCUGACUUGCCAAUCCGCCUACGCACGCUUUACGCCCAGUGAUUCCGAACAACGCUCGCUCCCCCCGUAUUACCGCGGCUGCUGGCAC